GCAAGUCGAGGGGUAACAUUGGUGCUUGCAUCAGAUGACGACCGGCGCACGGGUGCGUAACGCGUAUACAAUCUGCCUUUUGCUGAGGGAUAGCCCAGAGAAAUUUAGAUUAAUACCUCAUGGUAUGUAAAGUUGGCAUCAACAUUACAUUAAAGGUUACGGCAAAAGAUGAGUAUGCGUUCUAUUAGCUAGAUGGUGUGGUAACGGCAUACCAUGGCGACGAUAGAUAGGGGCCCUGAGAGGGGGAUC
rnacentral:rRNA from 1 species